GGUGAGUAACGCGUAGGAAUCUACCUAGUAGUGGGGGACAACUCGGGGAAACUCGAGCUAAUACCGCAUACGCCCUAAGGGGGAAAGCGGGGGUCUUCGGACCUCGCGCUAUUGGAUGAGCCUGCGUUGGAUUAGCUAGUUGGUAGGGUAAAGGCCUACCAAGGCGACGAUCCAUAACUGGUCUGAGAGGAUGAUCAGUCACACUGGAACUGAGACACGGUCCAGACUCC
rnacentral:rRNA from 1 species